AGAUAGAAGGGGCGGCCGCCGGGCUCGCGCCGGACGUGCCACCAGUGCUCCGUGCUUCGGCGCAGCAGCCGGUAGCGCUCGUUGGGCUGGAUGGCGACGCGGCGCCCGUCCUUGCCCGUGUACUCGAAGGGAUGCUCCACCAGCACGUACACAUCCCCCUCGACGUCCGCCGCCAUCGUGGCCCUGGCGUUUCCCUCCAAAGAAGCCUUGACUCAAAAGGUUCGGGUGACUGACUGCGAUAAAGUCACCGUUUUGCCUAAAAGUUGACUGGGCCUCGGUUUACAGCGGCUUAGCCACGAAUGUGAACCCGGAGCCUGACCCGCCCAGACCGGCCUGCACCGCCCCCUGUUCGUCUCCCACCUCCACCUCCAGAGUGAGGCGAUCCCCUAUGAUCUCCAUAUUGCCCCAUGAGAGCGUGCACUUUGUGACAGUGACUACCCCUGUGGCGUACUCCCCAGGGCUCUCCUGGAGCCAUCGCCACACCCCGCCACCCUCCACUCCAGCUUAGCUUGGCUCUUCAUGUGGUGUUGGGAGUCCGAGCCUAACUGUAAAUCUGCUGUCUCUCCAUCAAAGAGAUGAGUAUCAGCUUC